GACGAACGCUGGCGGCGUGCUUAACACAUGCAAGUCGAACGGAAAGGCCCUGCUUUUGUGGGGUGCUCGAUUGGCGAACGGGUGAGUAACACGUGAGUAACCUGCCCUUGACUUUGGGAUAACUUCAGGAAACUGGGGCUAAUACCGGAUAGGAGCUCCUGCUGCAUGGUGGGGGUUGGAAAGUUUCGGCGGUUGGGGAUGGACUCGCGGCUUAUCAGCUUGUUGGUGGGGUAGUGGCUUACCAAGGCUUUGACGGGUAGCCGGCCUGAGAGGGUGACCGGCCACAUUGGGACUGAGAUACGGACCAGAGUCCGACGGGAGGCAGCGGUGGGGAAUAUUGCACAAUGAGCGGAAGCCUGAUGCAGAAACGCCGCGUGCGGGAUGACGGCCUUCUGGUUGUAAACCGCUUUCGCCUGUGACGAAGCGUGAGUGACGGUAAUGGGUAAAGAAGCACCGGCUAACUACGUG
rnacentral:rRNA from 1 species